AUACGUAGGUGACAAGCGUUAUCCGGAUUUAUUGGGUUUAAAGGGAGCGCAGGCGGAGAUGCAAGCGUGACGUCAAAUUUCGGGGCUCAACCCCGUCUCGCGUCGCGAACUGCGUCCCUUGGUUGCGGGAAGGGGAGGCGGAACUCGUGGUGUAGCGGUGAAAUGCAUAGAUAUCACGAAGAACUCCGAUCGCGAAGGCAGCCUUCCGGCCCGUCAACGACGCUCAUGCUCGAAGGUGCGGGUAUCAAACAGGAUUAGAUACCCUGGUAGUCCGCACAGUAAACGAUGGACACCCGCGGUUUGGCCUGUAUGGCUGAGCCGCCAAGCGAAAGCGUUAAGUGUCCCACCUGGGGAGUACGCCGGCAACGGUGAAACUCAAAGGAAUUGACGGGG
rnacentral:rRNA from 1 species